rnacentral:tRNA from 1 species
GCCCGGAUGGUGGAAUUGGUAGACACGCUAGCUUCAGGUGCUAGUAUCGCGAGAUGUGCAGGUUCAAGUCCUGUUCCGGGUACCA